rnacentral:rRNA from 1 species
GAUGAACGCUGGCGGCGUGCCUAAUACAUGCAAGUCGAGCGAACGGACGAGAAGCUUGCUUCGCUGAUGUUAGCGGCGGACGGGUGAGUAACACGUGGAUAACCUACCUAUAAGACUGGGAUAACUUCGGGAAACCGUAGCUAAUACCGGAUAAUUUUUUGAACCGCAUGGUUCAAAAGUGAAAGACGGUCUUGCUGUCACUUAUAGAUGGAUCCGCGCUGCAUUAGCUAGUUGGUAAGGUAACGGCUUACCAAGGCAACGAUGCAUAGCCGACCUGAGAGGGUGAUCGGCCACACUGGAACUGAGACACGGUCCAGACUCCUACGGGAGGCAGCAGUAGGGAAUCUUCCACAAUGGGCGAAAGCCUGACGGAGCAACGCCGCGUGAGUGAUGAAGGUCUUCGGAUCGUAAAACUCUGUUAUUCGGGAAGAACAUAUGUGUAAGUAACUGUGCACAACUUGACGGUACCUAAUCAGAAAGCCACGGCUAACUACGUG